rnacentral:rRNA from 1 species
AUUGAACGCUGGCGGCAGGCCUAACACAUGCAAGUCGAGCGAGCGGCGGACGGGUGAGUAAUGUCUGGGAAACUGCCUGAUGGAGGGGGAUAACUACUGGAAACGGUAGCUAAUACCGCAUACCAUCAGAUGUGCCCAGAUGGGAUUAGCUAGCAGGUGGGGUAACGGCUCACCUAGGCGACGAUCCCUAGCUGGUCUGAGCGGAUGACCAGCCACAAUGGAACUGAGACACGGUCAAGACACGUACGGAAGGCAGCAGUGGGGAAUAUUGCACAAUGGACGGAAGCCUGAUGCAGCCAUGCCGCGUGGGUGAAGAAGGCCUUCGGGUUGUAAAGCACUUUCAGCGGGGAGGCGUUACCCACAGAAGAAGCACCGGCUAACUCCGUGCCAGCAGCCGCGGUAAUUC